rnacentral:rRNA from 1 species
ACGCUAGCGGGAGGCCUAACACAUGCAAGCCGAGCGGUAUUUGUUCUUCGGAACAGAGAGAGCGGCGUACGGGUGCGAAACACGUGUGCAACCUGCCUUUAUCUGGGGGAUAGCCUUUCGAAAGGAAGAUUAAUACCCCAUAAUAUAUUUUACGGCAUCGUGGAAUAUUGAAAACUCCGGUGGAUAGAGAUGGGCACGCGCAAGAUUAGAUAGUUGGUGAGGUAACGGCUCACCAAGUCAGUGAUCUUUAGGGGGCCUGAGAGGGUGAUCCCCCACACUGGUACUGAGACACGGACCAGACUCCUACGGGAGGCAGCAGUGAGGAAUAUUGGACAAUGGGUGCAAGCCAGAUCCAGCCAUCCCGCGUGAAGGACUAAGGCCCUAUGGGUUGUAAACUUCUUUUAUACUGGGAUAAACCUACUUACGUGUAAGUAGCUGAAGGUACAGUAUGAAUAAGCACCGGCUAACUCCGUGCCAGCAGCCGCGGUAAUACGGAGGGUGCAAGCGUUAUCCGGAUUUAUUGGGUUUAAAGGGUCCGUAGGCGGAUUCGUAAGUCAGUGGUGAAAUCUCAUAGCUUAACUAUGAAACUGCCAUUGAUACUGCGAGUCUUGAGUGAGAUUGAGGUAGCUGGAAUAAGUAGUGUAGCGGUGAAAUGCAUAGAUAUUGCUUAGAACACCAAUUGCGAAGGCAGGUUACCAAGUCUUAACUGACGCUGAGGGACGAAAGCGUGGGGAGCGAACAGGAUUA